rnacentral:rRNA from 1 species
GAUGAACGCUGGCGGCGUGCUUAACACAUGCAAGUCGAACGGUGAAGGCGGAGCUUGCUCUGCUGGAUCAGUGGCGAACGGGUGAGUAACACGUGAGCAAUCUGCCCCUGACUCUGGGAUAAGCGCUGGAAACGGCGUCUAAUACUGGAUACGAGCUGCGAAGGCAUCUUCAGCAGCUGGAAAGAAUUUCGGUCAGGGAUGAGCUCGCGGCCUAUCAGCUUGUUGGUGAGGUAAUGGCUCACCAAGGCGUCGACGGGUAGCCGUCCUGAGAGGGUGACCGGCCACACUGGGACUGAGACACGGCCCAGACUCCUACGGGAGGCAGCAGUGGGGAAUAUUGCACAAUGGGCGAAAGCCUGAUGCAGCAACGCCGCGUGAGGGACGACGGCCUUCGGGUUGUAAACCUCUUUUAGCAGGGAAGAAGCGAAAGUGACGGUACCUGCAGAAAAAGCGCCGGCUAACUACGUG